UCCACUGCAGCGAGUGGACCCACCUCCCCUCCACUGCAGCUGGAUGUCCUGAAAUACACGAUCACGUAUGAUCCAAGGGAAGAAUAUCACUUGGUCAUGGAUGGAAUUGCCAUGGAAACUAGGAUUUUAUUUGUAAUGUAAAUAUGCAAAAGAUGUCUAAAGCUAAAUAGUUACAUUUGAAUUAAUAAUUUGUGAAGAUAAUUACCAGUUCUAGCAAUACUUGUGGUGAGAAAAAUAAGUUUGUACACUUGCUGUUUGUUCAUAAUGGCGGUUUUGUGGUGUUGAUAUUUGAUUAAAAAAAUACUAUUUAACAUACGCAAUCUUGUGGUUUACACCAAUUUAUUACACAUUUUGACCAGGUACAAAAUACAGUUGAACUAUGCAGUUUAUUACAGACCAUUGUCUGCCAUUAGGCUAUGUAAAGUGUAGUCAAGAAUGGGUUUAAAAAUACACUAAAAUAAAGGUUCAGUAUACUUGUAAGAAGAACCAAAUCUAAUUCAAUAAAAAAAAAUCAUUCUCAGCCCAAUGUCUAAACAGCAUUACAAAAACAUUACAAAGUACAUAAGAAUUUCCCAAAAGCACUUAAAGGCAAAUUACUGUGACAGGCGCAUGUUACAAAAAGAAAAACCUUACAUAACUCAACUCAAACUUAGAUCUUCAUGGCUACAACAAAAACCAGAGGGGAGUUACGCAAGGAUCCAGCAAAACAAUCAAAACCAAUUUCAAAACACAAAAGAUAUCAAAUGGGCCAAACGGUAUAAAUAUUUUUUUUCAUGACCACUGCACAACUUACUCGAGUGCAUCAGUGGCACAUCCAACUAAUAACAAGAACAUUCAUAUGAACAAUUGAGAUUUGAAAUGUAUCACACCAGUCUAAACCAUUAAAUUAAACAUCAAGCCCAUGUUCUCCAACACACACCAACCCCAAUAAAAUAGGACCAUUACUGACGAGAAGUAGUGUACCAAGAUAGAAGUUCAAAAGGCCACAGUAAUACACACACACAUUUUCUAUGUCAUAUAAAGAAAUAUAUUCAUAUAUCUUAACAGUAUCUUGGUUUCAUAUUUAGGUCUAUGGUUAAACUAUGGCUAUAUAUAGAUCUAUAUAUAUAUAUAUAUUUAUGUAUAUAUAGCAAGACAUCUAUAGGCACAUGUUAUGGGAGCCAUUUCAGUUUCAAAUCAUCAAAUAACUGAGCUGUCGUACAAAAAUCUCUUGUGGUGGGGGGGGAGAGAAGUCCCAUGAACAUCUGGGUGUUUCUGCAGACUUCUGCAGAACUCCCGGUCACCGCCUCAGCCAACAGGCUACCAGGGUGCUCGAUUUUAUUUAUCUAAAUAAGGAUUUUUGCUUUCAACAGGUCCAACCACAUUGUUCUUUGAAUGGGUCGAUCUCCUGGGUAGCAGGACGACGGACUCAAAGGGAGGAGAAGUGAGGAUUUCUGUAAUUUAAUUGAUUCUAUUUAUGCAGAAGGAUUUCUGAUAACAGUCUCUAUACAGUGGCUGUUUGCCUUUUAAAGUCAAGCAGUCCACUUUCCUCUCUCCAUCUCAGAGGUUUUAAGGAUCAGGACUCUUCAACACACCAGGUAAGGCUGUCGAACGCGUCCAUAAAAACA